UGAACGCUAGCUACAGGCUUAACACAUGCAAGUCGAGGGGCAGCAUGGUCUUAGCUUGCUAAGGCCGAUGGCGACCGGCGCACGGGUGAGUAACACGUAUCCAACCUGCCGUCUACUCUUGGACAGCCUUCUGAAAGGAAGAUUAAUACAAGAUGGCAUCAUGAGUCCGCAUGUUCACAUGAUUAAAGGUAUUCCGGUAGACGAUGGGGAUGCGUUCCAUUAGAUAGUAGGCGGGGUAACGGCCCACCUAGUCUUCGAUGGAUAGGGGUUCUGAGAGGAAGGUCCCCCACAUUGGAACUGAGACACGGUCCAAACUCCUACGGGAGGCAGCAGUGAGGAAUAUUGGUCAAUGGGCGAGAGCCUGAACCAGCCAAGUAGCGUGAAGGAUGACUGCCCUAUGGGUUGUAAACUUCUUUUAUAAAGGAAUAAAGUCGGGUAUGGAUACCCGUUUGCAUGUACUUUAUGAAUAAGGAUCGGCUAACUCCGUGCCAGCAGCCGCGGUAAUACGGAGGAUCCGAGCGUUAUCCGGAUUUAUUGGGUUUAAAGGGAGCGUAGAUGGAUGUUUAAGUCAGUUGUGAAAGUUUGCGGCUCAACCGUAAAAUUGCAGUUGAUACUGGAUAUCUUGAGUGCAGUUGAGGCAGGCGGAAUUCGUGGUGUAGCGGUGAAAUGCCUAGAUAUCACGAAGAACUCCGAUUGCGAAGGCAGCCUGCUAAGCUGCAACUGACAUUGAGGCUCGAAAGUGUGGGUAUCAAACAGGAUUAGAUACCCUGGUAGUCCACACGGUAAACGAUGAAUACUCGCUGUUUGCGAUAUACAGCAAGCGGCCAAGCGAAAGCGUUAAGUAUUCCACCUGGGGAGUACGCCGGCAACGGUGAAACUCAAAGGAAUUGACGGGGGCCCGCACAAGCGGAGGAACAUGUGGUUUAAUUCGAUGAUACGCGAGGAACCUUACCCGGGCUUAAAUUGCAGAUGAAUUACGGUGAAAGCCGUAAGCCGCAAGGCAUCUGUGAAGGUGCUGCAUGGUUGUCGUCAGCUCGUGCCGUGAGGUGUCGGCUUAAGUGCCAUAACGAGCGCAACCCUUGUUGUCAGUUACUAACAGGUUCUGCUGAGGACUCUGACGAGACUGCCAUCGUAAGAUGUGAGGAAGGUGGGGAUGACGUCAAAUCAGCACGGCCCUUACGUCCGGGGCUACACACGUGUUACAAUGGGGGGUACAGAGGGCCGCUACCACGCGAGUGGAUGCCAAUCCCCAAAACCUCUCUCAGUUCGGACUGGAGUCUGCAACCCGACUCCACGAAGCUGGAUUCGCUAGUAAUCGCGCAUCAGCCACGGCGCGGUGAAUACGUUCCCGGGCCUUGUACACACCGCCCGUCAAGCCAUGGGAGCCGGGGGUACCUGAAGUGCGUAACCGCGAGGAGCGCCCUAGGGUAAAACUGGUGACUGGG
rnacentral:rRNA from 1 species